GGAGGUUAUAAUUUUCAUUUACAAUGAAAAGUGCCUUAGGGCUCCUUUAUAGUUGAAAUUAUAGUAAAUAC
rnacentral:tRNA from 1 species